rnacentral:rRNA from 1 species
CUACAGGCGGCUCCAGUGAGGAAUAUUGCACAAUGGGGGGAACCCUGAUGCAGCAACGCCGCGUGGAGGAUGACGCAUUUCGGUGUGUAAACUCCUUUUAUAUGUCAAGAAAAUGACGGUAGCAUAUGAAUAAGCGCCGGCUAACUCCGUGCCAGCAGCCGCGGUAAUACGGAGGGCGCAAGCGUUACUCGGAAUCACUGGGCGUAAAGGACGCGUAGGCGGGUUGAAAAGUCAGGUGUGAAAGCCUACAGCUUAACUGUAGAACUGCACUUGAAACUCUCAAUCUAGAGUAUGGGAGGGGCAGAUGGAAUUAGUGGUGUAGGGGUAAAAUCCGUAGAUAUCACUAGGAAUACCUAAAGCGAAGGCGAUCUGCUGGAACAUUACUGACGCUAAGGCGUGAAAGCGUGGGGAGCAAACAGGAUUAGAUACCCGCGUAGUC